GACGAACGCUGGCGGCGUGCCUAAUACAUGCAAGUAGAACGCUGAAGAGAGGAGCUUACUCUUCUUGGAUGAGUUGCAAACGGGUGAGUAACGCGUAGGUAACCUGCCUUGUAGCGGGGGAUAACUAUUGGAAACGAUAGCUAAUACCGCAUAACAAUGGAUGACACAUGUCAUUUAUUUGAAAGGGGCAAUUGCUCCACUACAAGAUGGACCUGCGUUGUAUUAGCUAGUAGGUGAGGUAAUGGCUCACCUAGGCGACGAUACAUAGCCGACCUGAGAGGGUGAUCGGCCACACUGGGACUGAGACACGGCCCAGACUCCUACGGGAGGCAGCAGUAGGGAAUCUUCGGCAAUGGGGGCAACCCUGACCGAGCAACGCCGCGUGAGUGAAGAAGGUUUUCGGAUCGUAAAGCUCUGUUGUAAGUCAAGAACGGGUGUGAGAGUGGAAAGUUCACACUGUGACGGUAGCUUACCAGAAAGGGACGGCUAACUACGUG
rnacentral:rRNA from 1 species